GCCUCUCUCUCUCUCCCUUGCUUGCCUUGCUUCCUUUUCCCGGAGCCGCACCCAGGUCCCCCACCAUCAUGUACCCCUUACCCAGGCCUCUGAGGGGCCAGGCACCCCCCACCACUCCCCUACAGCAGGAGAGCUUAGGGAGGCUGAGAGCUUGGACAGCCGGGAGAGGGGGCCGGAUCUCUGGAUCUCCCCAGCCUCCAGAUCUCAGUGUGGCUCUCUCUGGAGACAAAAGCUAAGACUCAACCCACAGGCAACACUCAACACAGAGAUCCAGCUCAGAAAAAAAGGAGCUGACCAGGGAGGAAUGGAGAGGCCAAGACACAUAAUGAAGACUAAGAAAAGGAAGAAAGAUGAUGCUGGGGCUGGAGCCAAAGGGAGAGGAAGAGGAAAGGAAGGAAAGCCAGGGGCAGAGACCUGGCAGGGCAGCGUGAGCCCAACAACCACGGGGUGGGGGUGGGGCGCGCAUCAAGAUUUCUAACAAGCGCAGCUGAAAACACCCAGGGCCGUUCUCUGAGGCCUUCUCUCUGCCUACCAGCCCUCACCAGUGCUUCGAAGAGCCCUGAGGAACGUCUCUCUAUUUGAAGUCAGAGCCGAGUGCCUGCUCUCGGCACCUGGGGCUCCAUGCUUACCAGGAUGGUGGGUACUUGACCUUCAUUUGCUGUGGGACUGUCAGGGAUUCCAGGGACCCACUGGUCCCCGAACUGGCUCAGAGAUGCAAGCCAUUUUUACCUCCUACACAUCUAUAAUCCCCACCCCAUGGCUGACAAAUAUUCCCAGUCCACAGCUGUCUCCACCCACCCAGUGACAGAGCACAGGCAGCCAAAAGGAUCAAGCAAUCUCUUGCCACCUCCCAGCACCCCAGAAUGCUAAACAGACCCUCACAUCUGGACUCCACAUCCAGCGAGGAGUGCCCCUGCCCACCACCCAGAUCACACAGCUGCCAGUUACAGACCACCCUAUAGGUCCCACCACACGGCCAUAGCCCACCAGCAUCCCAGAGCUGCCUCUACACUAAAGCUCUGUCCCAGCCCAGCCAUCCUUCAAGCCACAUCUGGAAUAGCACACACCCUAUUCCACUAGCCAAAGCCCCCAGGGGUGUAAUUCAGAAGGAGGCAGACUGGGCCUGGGGCAUGUGGACAAGUCCCUGACACCACGCCCUGGCUUCUCCGGCUUGUCUGAAGAACCUGAACUGCCCUUAAGGCCUGCGCCUCCCAUCCCAGGGCAGCCCCCCCGCCAUACCUACACUCUUGGCCAUGGGAGAAUGUCCUCAUGUGCGGCUAAACAUCCUCCUCAUGCAGCCUUGAAUUCUGUUCCUUCCACGUCACCUCACCAGACCCAGGAUGAAAGCCGCUCACCUAGAGCAAAGCUUCUGCUUCCGAGGCAUUCAGGACUCCCCUCAGGGUGUGUGAGCACCCUGGGGCACAUGCCUGUUGCUUAUGUCUGGGUUACCUCUGUGACCCUGGGACCGCUCCACAUUGAAGGCCGUUGUGUCUUUUUGUGGAAGGAUGGAAGGACAGAAGGGAAGGAGAGACAAAGUGGUACCACAGCCCUGUUCUUGCCCUGGCACUUGGAGGGCACCAGAUACCCAGGGGACUGUAGCUGGCUGUGAGGACUCUAAGGCCAGGCCAGCAUACACAGUCCCCAAUAGUGAGUAGGAGCCCAGUCAGUCCACACCCCUUCCCAUCCACUCGAAAUGUAACUUAGCCCUCGGCUUCUCCUUACCUUUCAGGAGUUCUCUCCUUACCCCCAAAGACUUCCUGAGGACCCCCUAGGCCAGCCAGCCUAUCCCUCUCUCCCCUAACCCAGCAUCCUGCAGUCCCCUGGUUCAGAUUGGUGGUGUCUGUGCCUGAACCCCCACGAGCCUGAAAGCCCCUCAAAGGCCACAUGGGUCUCCCGCCUCUCUGCAUCUCCAGAUGGUGGCACGAGGCCUAGCACACAAGGAAUCCCAGAAAAUGUUGGCUGAAGGAAUAAAUGGAUGGAUCUAGGUU
rnacentral:lncRNA from 1 species